rnacentral:rRNA from 1 species
UACAGAGGUCCCAAGCGUUGUUCGGAUUUAUUGGGCGUAAAGGGUGCGUAGGCGGCGGAGUAAGUUGGGUGUGAAAUCCCGGGGCUCAACCUCGGAAUUGCAUUUAAUACUGCUUCGCUCGAGUACUGGAGAGGAGACUGGAAUUUACGGUGUAGCAGUGAAAUGCGUAGAUAUCGUAAGGAAGGCCGGUGGCGAAAGCGAGUCUCUGGACAGUUACUGACGCUGAUGCACGAAGGCCAGGGGAGCAAACGGG